AAAACGACUCUCGACAACGGAUAUCUCGGCUCUCGCAUCGAUGAAGAACGCAGCGAAAUGCGAUACUUGGUGUGAAUUGCAGAAUCCCGUGAACCAUCGAGUCUUUGAACGCAAGUUGCGCCCAAAGCCUUCCGGCCGAGGGCACGUCUGCCUGGGUGUCACGC
rnacentral:rRNA from 1 species